UACGUAGGGGGCUAGCGUUGUCCGGAAUCAUUGGGCGUAAAGCGCGUGUAGGCGGUCCGGUAAGUCCGCUGUGAAAGUCGGGGGCUCAACCCUCGAAUGCCGGUGGAAACUGUCGGGCUAGAGUACGGAAGAGGCGAGUGGAAUUCCUGGUGUAGCGGUGAAAUGCGCAGAUAUCGGGAGGAACACCAAUUGCGAAGGCAGCUUGCUGGGACGGUACUGACGCUGAGGCGCGAAAGCGUGGGGAGCAAACAGG
rnacentral:rRNA from 1 species